GUGAAUCAUCGAAUUUUUGAACGCAUAUUGCACUCUCUGGUAUUCCAGAGAGUAUGCCUGUUUGAGGGUAAUCAAAAAGAAUCUUUAACCAAUUUGUUUUGUUCAAAGGUAAUGAUUUCUCCUCGUUUAUAGGGGUAGCUUGAAAUAAGUGGUCAAGGCUCAUUGUAUGCGAGACGCGUAUUAAUAUUAGUUCGCGAAAUCUUCAUUAUUUGACUAUCAAGUUUUGACGCAUACAAAUUUGUUGUUUUUUCGAUCAAUACAAAUAUGUUGAACAUUACCUCAAAUC
rnacentral:misc_RNA from 1 species